GUUUUUUGAAUUAUAUUUAUUCAUAAUAUUUUUCAGACAAAGAGUUAAAAAAUAAAGGUUGAUGUUUGGUCGAUCUCCAUGAAGAAGAUCGACUGACAUUGCACACAAGGUGGAUAUGGAUUUAAAAAGUGCCAUAAAACACUUAUUAUGAAUGAUCCUUCCGCAGGUUCACCUACGGAAA
rnacentral:misc_RNA from 1 species